rnacentral:sRNA from 1 species
UCUAUCGAUAUGCAAAGACAAAACAUAUGUUUGAAAAGCAUAUGAUGAAUAGGCAGAGUGCAAUUAAUUGCAAAAGUUGCAACUGAAAGAGAUAACAAUUUCUCCCAAGUGCAAGUGAACGUGUGUUCGACAGGCCGAAGAAGUGAGUGACGCAAAAUGGCUGCGAGGGAAUCAUCCGGUGGAACGAGAGGUAGCAGCUGAGAAGACUCCACAUCCCAAUCACCGAGCAGCGCCGCCAGUUUUGUUAAGAUGAUUGUGUAGUUUAAGCCAGUGCAUUGUAGUGUUGUUUUGCUGCAUGUGUGUAUAUGCAUACGUGCCCUCCU